rnacentral:rRNA from 1 species
AUACGGAGGGUGCAAGCGUUACUCGGAAUCACUGGGCGAAAAGCGCGCGCAGGCGGCUAUUUAAGUUGGAUGUGAAAGCCUACGGCUCAACCGUAGAACUGCAUCCAAAACUAUUUAGCUAGAGUGUGGGAGAGGAAGAUGGAAUUAGUUGUGUAGGGGUAAAAUCCGUAGAGAUAACUAGGAAUACCAAAAGCGAAGGCAAUCUUCUGGAACACUACUGACGCUGAGGCGCGAAAGCGUGGGGAGCAAACGGGAUUAGAUACCCUAGUAGUCC